rnacentral:sRNA from 2 species
CACCCCUAGAAUAGCCGGUUUAUACAAAUUGAGAAGAGGUAUCUUCAAAGGAUGAUGGAGACCGAUUCCGUGGAAGCUUGGGCGAACAUGAGAUAGAGUUUGAACGCGACCAUCCAAACCGUCGUAACUGAGGUGGGCGCAAAAUCAAGCAUGAAUAUUUGCUACGAGUACUUGCCAUCAUAACCUAUAGAUUCUAUCUCAGAGACCCCGGAUCAAGCAACUUUCUCAUUGUCCAGAUGGCAAAGUGGCUAAAAUUGAUACCUGAUCGGACGGAAUAACAUUGUGAAUGUAUGUAAACUAGAUGGAUUUGAUACUAUCAUAGGCAUGUUGUCAAUUAGCAGGCCCAAAUGCUACUUCUAUCCACGGAUAUCAAGUCCUUCCUGAGAGAUCUAACACCUUCGGACAGUAGGAUUUCCCGGCCCACUCAGCUCAAACCCACCACGUAACGACCCUGCGCGAUGGGGCCGGUCAAACCUGAAUAGGGGGAGCCGGGGAAGAGGGGAAAGAAGUAAAGAAAAAAGAAGAAACAAAUCCCAAUCCAUUAAUCAUAAUGUCGUGUCCUGUUUAGUACAGUAGUAUCUCUAUGGUCUUUAGAAAACGCCAUGGUUCCCUCCUUGCCUCCAACCCAAAAAAAAAAAUGAAAAUGAAAAA